rnacentral:rRNA from 1 species
UGAGUAACCUGCCCUUAACUCUGGGAUAAGCCUGGGAAACUGGGCCUAAUACCGGAUAUGACUCCUCAUCGCAUGGUGGGGGGUGGAAAGCUUUAUUGUGGUUUUGGAUGGACUCGCGGCCUAUCAGCUUGUUGGUGAGGUAAUGGCUCACCAAGGCGACGACGGGUAGCCGGCCUGAGAGGGUGACCGGCCACACUGGGACUGAGACACGGCCCAGACUCCUACGGGAGCAG